rnacentral:rRNA from 1 species
GUAACCUACCUCAAAGUGGGGGAUAGCCUUCCGAAAGGAAGAUUAAUACCGCAUAAAGCCAAGUUUCACAUGGAAUUUGGAUGAAAGGAGUAAUUCGCUUUGAGAUGGACCCGCGGCGCAUUAGUUAGUUGGUGGGGUAAUGGCCUACCAAGACAGCGAUGCGUAGCCGACCUGAGAGGGUGAUCGGCCACAUUGGAACUGAGAUACGGUCCAGACUCCUACGGGAGGCAGCAGUGGGGAAUAUUGCACAAUGGGCGAAAGCCUGAUGCAGCAACGCCGCGUGAGUGAUGAAGGUCUUCGGAUUGUAAAGCUCUGUCUUUUGGGACGAUAAUGACGGUACCAAAGGAGGAAGCCACGGCUAACUACGUGCCAGCGGCCGCGGUAAUACGUAGGUGGCGAGCGUUGUCCGGAUUUACUGGGCGUAAGGGGUGCGUAGGCGGAUGUUUAAGUGAGAUGUGAAAUACCCGGGCUUAACUUGGGUGCUGCAUUUCAAACUGGAUAUCUAGAGUGCAGGAGAGGAGAAUGGAAUUCCUAGUGUAGCGGUGAAAUGCGUAGAGAUUAGGAAGAACACCAGUGGCGAAGGCGAUUCUCUGGACUGUAACUGACGCUGAGGCACGAAAGCGUGGGUAGCAAACAGGAUUAGAUACCCUGGUAGUCCACGCCGUAAACGAUGAGUACUAGGUGUAGGAGGUAUCGACCCCUUCUGUGCCGCAGUAAACACAUUAAGUACUCCGCCUGGGAAGUACGAUCGCAAGAUUAAAACUCAA